UACGUAGGUGGCAAGCGUUGUCCGGAAUUAUUGGGCGUAAAGCGCGCGCAGGCGGUUCGCUAAGACAGAUGUGAAAUCCCCGGGCUUAACCUGGGAACUGCAUUUGUGACUGGCGGGCUAGAGUAUGGCAGAGGGGGGUAGAAUUCCACGUGUAGCAGUGAAAUGCGUAGAGAUGUGGAGGAAUACCGAUGGCGAAGGCAGCCCCCUGGGCCAAUACUGACGCUCAUGCACGAAAGCGUGGGGAGCAAACAGG
rnacentral:rRNA from 1 species